rnacentral:rRNA from 1 species
AUGGCUCGUGGCGAUCAUCAAAAUGAUGACGAUGAUUUCAUGGAUCCACCACAGCGUAAUCGGGCAACUGGACGGAGAAAAGAGGGUGAUGAGAGGAAGAAACGUAUUCGCAACAGAGCCUCCCAAGAACGCCUGACUGUGUUGAUUAACAAAUUCAUCAACGAUCAAAAGGGAGCUGCUGCUGAGAUGGGUAUGCAGGCUCUGAUGGAUGUCCGGUGCACGAACCUUGUUAGCCCUGUAUGCGACUGGCUUAGUGAGAUCUACGAGCCUGCCUCCAGGGAAUUCGUGAUUCCGGGAUAUGGAAGACUUCCGUUGAACGAGGAAUCCGUGUUCUGCACUUUGGGUGUGCCUCGUGGACAUAUCAAAGUCCCAUACGAGGUCAAUAAUGAGAUCGAGGAAGCGUUGUUCGCCCGUUUGUUUCCUGGAUUGGAGUCCAUGCCGAACACGUCUGCACUGGCAGAUUCGCUGCAGGCCAUGACGACGCACGGAGAUGUUUUCAAGAUGAAGCUACUCAUGUACCUCAUCUCAGCUGUUUUUGCGCCGACCACUUCUCUUCGCCCAAGCAACAAAUGCUUCCCCAUCCUAGCGAAUCUGAAAAAUGUGAAGAACAUGAACUGGUGUAGGUUUAUUGCCGACUUCCUCCACGAUGCUUUCGCAAACAAGAUGUACCAAAAGGGUUGUCAACUGCAUUUAAUGCUCAUGUAUGUCGACUGUCUUGAUCUGUCCACUCUGGAUUUCACUGGGGUAGGAGGCCCGCCGCCUAUGCACAAGUUUGUUGUUUCUGCGUGGACUAUCAACGCUGUCAAGGCUGUGCUUGCCGCAGACAGGGCAACUGAUACCACAUAUGGAAAACUGCAGCUGAUGGCCAAGCAUGCUAUAGACUACAGCGUGUUUGGGGGGCCUCAAAACUUUGGAAAGUGGAUGGACGUGCACUCAGCUCCGUCUUGCCCUUCUGAGGGCACCUGUUGA